UCUUGAUUACGCGAUUUCCGUUUUUAACCUCAAUCACGAACAUAGCCACGGUCUUGGUCCACGUUCUUCGAUAGUUACCAUCUUCCGAAUUUGGAAACCUUGAGCAACGAACAACUAUAAAAGCCGAAGCCUCACCACCUCCGAACACACCUCAGUUCCUCGUUAACAACUCGCCGGAGUAAACCGUAGUCACCGGAGCUUCGCCAAACAACCCGAAGACGCCGAACAAACCAAAGCACCCGAUCGUUUCAUCUUCGUUCGUCUCCACCGGAGAACCUCCGCACCGCCACCACAUCGCCGGAACUCGCCGCUGUCAACCACCGCCGGUCGCCGGAGCCGGAGAAGACGACCGGGUAAAUCUCUUGUGCAACGACACUUGGAACAAUCCUCACAUUCUCUUUCCAAGAAAUACGCAACGCACUCCAAGGUUGAAAGUACAAGAUUCAAGAAUCGAGCUAGGAUGAACUCUAGAAACCCACAUAACAUUUGAAUUAUUGUUGAACAAUAUGUUGUAUUGUUUGGAACUAUGUAUUUCACUUUAGAGUUUAUGAAAUGAAUUAAAUAAAUUAUUGUCACAUUUAGUGUUA